UUACGGCCACAUCACGUUGAAACCUGUUCCCGUACGAUCACAAAAGUUAUGCAGUGUCGAGCCUGGUCAGUACCUACAAUGAGUGAUUGCUUGGGAAUAUCAGGUGCUGUAAG